UGGUGUGGGGAGCCUGUCUCCCUCCAGAUAUUGCUGGACUACAAAUCCCAUCACCCCUGGCUUUUGGGUCGGGUGUCCUGGGGCUGAUGGGGGUUAAGAGUCCAGCAUAUCUGGAGGGAGACAGGCUCCCCACACCUGGGCUAGAUAAC